GGCUGGAUAGUGUAGUGGGUAGCACGUCAGAUCUAAAGAGCGGAUGAUUCCUGAAGCGGUAAUGCCCGACGGGGCCCGUGAUGUAGUGCAUUAGCUUGCGGUAUGUAUCUGGAGUCCUCAGUUCGAAUCUGAGUCUGGCCA